rnacentral:rRNA from 1 species
UAGGGAAUAUUGGACAAUGGGUGUAAGCCUGAUCCAGCCAUGCCGCGUGCAGGAAGAAGGCCUUCUGGGUUGUAAACUGCUUUUGCCGGGGGAUAAAAGAUCCAUGCGUGGAGAAUUGAAGGUACCCGGUGAAUAAGCCACGGCUAACUACGUGCCAGCAGCCGCGGUAAUACGUAGGUGGCAAGCGUUGUCCGGAUUUAUUGGGUUUAAAGGGUGCGUAGGCGGUCCUGUAAGUCAGUGGUGAAAUACGGCAGCUCAACUGUCGAGGUGCCAUUGAUACUGCUGGACUUGAGUACAGACGAGGUAGGCGGAAUUGACGGUGUAGCGGUGAAAUGCUUAGAUAUCGUCAAGAACACCGAUAGCGAAGGCAGCUUACUAGACUGUAACUGACGCUGAGGCA